CGUACGAUAACGAGUUUAGAUCAUGGCUCAGAAUCAACGCUGGCGGCGUGCCUCAGACAUGCCAAGUCGAAACGAUUAAAGCGUCUCUUCGGAGAGUGUAUAGAGUGGCCGUCACGGGUGAGUAACACGUAAGUAAUCUACCCUCGAGUGGGGAAUAACAACCGGAAACGGUUGCCUAAUACCGCAUAAUGCAGCGGCACCGCAAGGUGACAGUUGUUAAAGAUUUAUCGCUUGAGGAGGAGCUUGCGGCAGAUUAGCUAGUUGGUAGGGUAACGGCUUACCAAGGCUACGAGUCUGUAACCGGUCUAAGAGGACGGUCGGUCACACUGACACUGAAUAACGGGUCAGACUCCUACGGGAGGCAGCAGUCGGGAAUUUUGGGCAAUGGGCGAAAGCCUGACCCAGCAACGCCGCGUGAAGGAUGAAGUAUUUCGGUAUGUAAACUUCGAAAGAAUAGGAAGAAUUAAUGACGGUACUAUUUAUAAGGUCCGGCUAACUACGUG
rnacentral:rRNA from 1 species